rnacentral:rRNA from 1 species
UACGUAGGUGACGAGCGUUGUCCGGAUUUACUGGGCGUAAAGAGCGCGCAGGCGGUCGUUCAAGUCGAGUGUGAAAGCCCCCGGCUCAACUGGGGAGGGUCACUCGAUACUGAUCGACUCGAAGGCAGGAGAGGGUAGUGGAAUUCCCGGUGUAGUGGUGAAAUGCGUAGAUAUCGGGAGGAACACCAGUGGCGAAGGCGACUACCUGGCCUGUUCUUGACGCUGAGGCGCGAAAGCUAGGGGAGCAAACGGGG